rnacentral:rRNA from 1 species
GCUACACAUGCAGUCGAGCGGAACGAUGAUAGCUUGCUAUCAGGCGUCGAGCGGCGGACGGGUGAGUAAUACUUAGGAAUCUGCCUAGUAGUGGGGGAUAGCACGGGGAAACUCGUAUUAAUACCGCAUACGACCUACGGGAGAAAGGGGGCAACUUGUUGCUCUCGCUAUUAGAUGAGCCUAAGUCGGAUUAGCUAGAUGGUGGGGUAAAGGCCUACCAUGGCGACGAUCUGUAGCUGGUCUGAGAGGAUGAUCAGCCACACCGGAACUGAGACACGGUCCGGACUCCUACGGGAGGCAGCAGUGGGGAAUAUUGGACAAUGGGGGCAACCCUGAUCCAGCCAUGCCGCGUGUGUGAAGAAGGCCUUUUGGUUGUAAAGCACUUUAAGCAGUGAAGAAGACCAUAUGGUUAAUACCCAUAUGCGAUGACAUUAGCUGCAGAAUAAGCACCGGCUAACUCUGUGCCAGCAGCCGCGGUAAUACAGAGGGUGCAAGCGUUAAUCGGAUACUGGCGUAAAGCGAGCGUAGGUGGCUUGAUAAGUCAGAUGUGAAAUCCCGGGCUUACUGGACUGCAUCUGAAACUGUAGGCUAGAGUAGUGAGAGAGUAGA